rnacentral:rRNA from 1 species
UACGUAGGGCGCAAGCGUUGUCCGGAAUUAUUGGGCGUAAAGCGCGCGCAGGCGGCCUUUUAAGUCUGAUGUGAAAGCCCCCGGCUCAACCGGGGAGGGUCAUUGGAAACUGGAAGGCUUGAGUGCAGAAGAGAAGAGCGGAAUUCCACGUGUAGCGGUGAAAUGCGUAGAGAUGUGGAGGAACACCAGUGGCGAAGGCGGCUCACUGGACCGGCAUUGACGCUGAGGAACGAAAGCCAGGGGAGCAAACGGG